UACCACUCACUACAAACAAGCUAGUUGUACGAAGAGCAGAAAUGGGAGCCUUGGGAAAGCCAAGGCCUUCUUCGCUCAUCAUUACCAUGUUUUAUUGUUUGACAUUCUGCUUCUUAGCUACUACUAGUGUUCAUGCUACUAUUCCUCUUUUACCUCCCAUAAUCCUACCUCCUAUUCCCAAGCUACCUCCUAUUCCCAUCCUACCUCCUUACAAGUCAUCACCACCUCCGCCACAGCCCAAGUCUUCACCACCUCCGCCUUCACCACCUCCGCCACAGCCCAAGUCUUCACCACCUCCGCCACCUCCGCCUUCACCACCUCCGCCACAGCCUAAGUCUUCACCACCUCCGCCACCUCCGCCUUCACCACCUCCGCCUUCACCACCUCCGCCUUCACCACCUCCGCCACCUCCGCCUUCACCACAGCCUAAGUCUUCACCACCUCCGCCACCGCCCAACUCAUCACCACCUCCGCCACCCUCACCCUCACCUCUACCUCCUUACAAGUCACCACCACCACCAUCUCCAUCACCAUCUCCAUCACAAUCUCUACCAUCUCUAUCACCACCAUCUCCAUCACCAUCUCUAUCACCAUCUCCAUCACCAU
rnacentral:lncRNA from 1 species